rnacentral:rRNA from 1 species
AGUGAACGCUGGCGGUAGGCCUAACACAUGCAAGUCGAACGGCAGCACAGUAAGAGCUUGCUCUUACGGGUGGCGAGUGGCGGACGGGUGAGGAAUACAUCGGAAUCUACUUUUUCGUGGGGGUUAACGUAGGGAAACUUACGCUAAUACCGCAUACGACCUACGGGUGAAAGCAGGGGAUCUUCGGACCUUGCGCGAGUGAAUGAGCCGAUGUCGGAUUAGCUAGUUGGCGGGGUAAAGGCCCACCAAGGCGACGAUCCGUAGCUGGUCUGAGAGGAUGAUCAGCCACACUGGAACUGAGACACGGUCCAGACUCCUACGGGAGGCAGCAGUGGGGAAUAUUGGACAAUGGGCGCAAGCCUGAUCCAGCCAUACCGCGUGGGUGAAGAAGGCCUUCGGGUUGUAAAGCCCUUUUGUUGGGAAAGAAAAGCAGCAGGUUAAUACCCCGCUGUUCUGACGGUACCCAAAGAAUAAGCACCGGCUAACUUCGUG